rnacentral:lncRNA from 1 species
GCCAGCUGUGCUGUGGCAAAGGUACACACCGUUCUUCAGAUGAGAUAUGUUAGUGAGGAAUGGCAGGAUGUUCUUAAACCAGGGAGAUUUGCAUUGGCCCUGCAGGCUCCAACAGGCAGCUAUGGAAAAGGAUCUUGGAAGAGAGAAAAAGGGUGACUGACAAGGAGUUAGCUUCAGCUGGACAGAACCCCAGCUCCCCAGCACCUGCAGGGAGGCACACACAGAUGCCUCCCCUGUGCGGAAGGGUCCUAUUGAAUUCACGGACUCAGAGAGUGCCUCCAAUGCACCGCUCCGGGUGUCAGGACUACAGUGCAGAGCAAGACAGACAACACCCCCUCGGGAUGGAUUAGGUAGGUGGGGGAAGGCUGGAGACAAACACCAAAGUAAGAAACAAGUCAACAACAUGUCUCUUAGACUCGAGUUUUGAGAUAGCCAUAAAGUCAAGGAAUGUGAUGUGGACUUUGAGAGUGCCACUCGGGGGUCAGGGAGGCCUCUCUGCAGACUCGAGUGUCCAGGAAAGUCCAGGGGCUCUGUGGGAUGGGGAAAGGAGCAGCAGGGACAACUCGACUUGUUUCAGGAACAAAAAGAACCAAGGAAACCGCUGUAUGGGGGCAUGAGAGGGCUCGGGGUCCAAAUGAGAUGACGGGGGAGGCUGAGCAGGAGUUUGCUUUUACUGGAAGUGGAGUGGAAGCCAGGGAGAGUUUUAAGCUUUGGCACAACAGGACCUGAUUAACAUUUGGAAGAAGGGAUCUCAACUUCCCCUUGGAGAGUGGGCAGCGGAGGAGCCACAGUUGGGCUCUGGUUAGGAAGACGUGGAGGUUGAUCUUGAGAGAGCCUCCUGGGACUGGCGGCUUCAUGGACAAAAUGCGAAUAAUGAGCGCUCCCAAAGACCCGGCCAGGGCCAUGCCUGUGUUGCACGUAUGUGCAGAAAUGUAACUGAGGCCUGUAGCUCCCUCCCGCACCUGAGUGGCUUCCUGCACGUCCUUUGAGAAGUCACUGUGAUUGUUUCCUCAGCACGUUUGGAGGAGCUCCUCCGGUGGGGCUGAUGGGUUAUUCAGAGCCUACUAAUUACUCAGCAUGUGCCAUGGGAACCCUGUGUGCAGGAUCUUAAUCUAGGACAGUGCUGUGCCAGGUUCAGACGGUUCUUCCGGAGGGUCCUUAACUCUACUGAACCACGAGGGACUCUUCGGUUUCCAGGGGGAAUAAUCCACCCAACCCAGCUCUGGCUGAGGGCAUGAACUCCUUCUCUUUCUCAUUUAUCCUGGAGGGUAUUUUUGUUCCUUCGUAAUGGCUUCAUGGUUCACUGGACCGAAAUGACUAAAAUGAAAGAUUUCCAAGAUUUCUUCUGGGAGUAAUUUACAAAAGACCACCCUUUUUUAAUUGCUCCUCGUGUUUAGUACUGGAUGUCUGCUUCAGAGAGAAAUCAAUCUCCGUCUUUUAGGUGCCAUACUGAGCACAUCAUCAUCUUUUUAAAAAAUCUUGAUAAUUAAAUCAUUUUUUCUUGAAUUACUUAAACAUUUUUCUUUCUAUCUGAUUUCUUUAGCAGUUUAGAGCAUAACAGUACACUUAGUAUCUCUGUUUACAUUAAUUUAAUUCAUUUCUGGCAGAAGUUCAUUUUGCACUUUAAUGCAGUGAAAAAUAGUAAUAAUCAGUGUGACAUCAAAAAUAAUUAAGAGAAAUAGCAAGAUUUCCUCCAUAGGAGAAUUCUUCCUGUAGAAGAAUGAAAGAAAAUUAAUUUCCCAGAGUUACUCUAAUUAAAAUCAUCUGCAGAAUCCCCAGUAAAAGAAAAAAGUUGAAAAUUGACAUGUCAUCAAUAAAAAUCAGCUCACUAAAAAAAAAAAAGUCAAUAAGUUAAAGAUUUCAUAGCAUCAUGGACAAGAUCGGUGGAAACGUUUUGUCAAAAACCAAUUUCUCGCUAGGCUCCAUGCUAAGAUUCUCCUAAAAGACAAUCUCCCUCGUUUUUAGAAGUACCAACACGCACUCCUAGGAAAUGUGCUGAUUUCAAGGUCAAAUUAACAUGUUGCUGGAAAGGGAGACUUCUUUACUACCUCUAACUAGAUGUCCAUUGUUGAUGUGUUGCAGUGGAGCCAGUCCAGUAACUAUUUUCUGUAUGAUGCAGUCACCCGUAUUAUAAAGGCUGUUGCAAUCAAUGACUAAUAUCCCUGCUUACUUCUGCAAAAUUUUAUUGUUGAUGUUUAUCCUGAUUAAAAAUGUCUGUGUUUAAAAAAUAUCAAGAUAAAACUAUUGUUCUAUAUCCAAAGUAUUAGUUACUGGCCAGUGUCCAAAAAAAGAUAAUUUCGCUCAGGUCGUAAGCCUAAAUCCUGUAACUAUUCUGUUGUUGGACAAGUCUGUUUUUCACUUUCAAUUCAUAUCCAAAGAAGAGCUUGUCUGUGGUUUCCACUGGAGUUUAGACUACGUUACAGGACAUUUUUUGUAUGAGAUUUAUUUUUCUAAUUAUGAUUGGCUUUGAUUAAUAUUAAACUCAGUUGCCAUCUCCUGAGCCUGCAUUGUGUUGGAAGGAGGCCCAGAAGCACUCUGGGAGUCAAAGGGAAGCCAGGCAGAUAUUUUACUGAGGAAAAUUCAAGUACAGAAGCAGGGGCUAUCUGGAAUCCAUUCUGUUUGAGAAUCACAGUUCUGGAAACAGGCUCUAGAAGAAGCCUGGUAUAAUCUGUCAAACAGGGGUAGCCUCCACUGGGCUCUGUGCAUCAGCUUUGGUAGGCUCUCCCCACACUCAGAGGGAGACUCACAGUCAAGCUAUGAAAUCUGCAGCGUCGGGGCUCUGACUCACAGGGUCCCCUUGCAAAACCUUGGGAGUUUCCAUAGCAGAGUGUAUUUGUUAUUUGAAGAGCCUCAAAAAUCACAUAUGCUUUCAACUCUCUGAGAAAACGGACUCAUUCUGUCUAUUGUGAAGAGUACAGAUUUGUUUUUUAAUUUUCAUUUUAUGUGGCCCAUAAAAGUUUGAAUUAAAAACAGCCUUUUAUUCUACUUGAAGGCAAGUGAAGGAAGAGAGCACUCCUCUCCCCAGAGGACCAAUUCACUCUCUUAACCCAAGAGGCAGCUUGGGAUGGAACUCCGGAAAAGAGCAAGAUCCCAGAUGUGACAUCUUCUGAAUUAUCCUCACCGUGCCCCGUACAUCCAGGCCUUCCUUCCAAUUUCCCCAGGCAGCUGUAGCCACUAAUCUGGGACCACCAUCGAUGUUCCUAAUCCACCUCCCCUGCUGUCCUUGCCUCCCUUCCCUGACUCCAUUUCCAACCCCCUCCACAGUCCAUCACCAUUGUAUUUUUUUGCCUGAUUAAUGUUUCCACAAAACAUGUCAUUCCUCUGAUGAGACCUCAAUGCAUAGUUAUAGAGGACGGUUUCCUAAGCUGGCACUCAAGGCCCACCAUAGCCCAGAGUGUGUCUCACCCAGCCGAUGGUCUUUCUUUCCAUAUACACUGUAUUCUAGGCAACUUGUACUGUAGAUGAGUGCUAUGAUUAAGUCCAGCCUGAAAGACCUGGGCAUGAAUCACCCACCUGCCCUUUACUGAAUUUGGAAGAGUUGCUUAGAUUCCCUCAUCUUCCAUGUCAGUCUCUGUAAAAUUGUGAUAAAAAUGGAUCCCAGCCAGAGGGAUUACUGUGAGCAGUGAUGAAGGUGAAGUGUGCCAGGCUCCUGGCAUAGAGCUUGGUACAUGGAAUAGGUGCUCAGUAAAAGC